rnacentral:pre_miRNA from 1 species
UGGCGAUGGUGAUGGUGAUGGUGAUGGUGAUGGUGAUGGUGGUGAUGUGGAGGAGGGUUAUUCACUGUGGGAUGAUGCUGCUGCAAACCGCAGGGAACAUAAAAGAUGAAGAUCAUCAUCAUCAUCAUCAUCAUCAUCAUCAUUACCACCA